UUUUUAUUCAACUUUGGAGCUCAUUUUCUCAAAACUUUGUUUUUGUGGGAUAGCCCACUUUACCUCUCAAUGGCACAUAUUGGGGAAUAUAGCUAUUUGGCUUUUAAUGAUUACUUUUAAGACUUCGAUCACUAAACAUGAUUCCAACAGUGUCCGAGUCAGCUAAAUACCCUGAAUGGAAAAAGGCGUGUCCUUCCUUUUAUACAAGGUUGAUCCUUCCUUCCUAUUAAUCACACAGAUAUAAAACUCCACCCAGUAAGUGUGGGAUGUCGCCUUUUCCCUUUCACUAAUGAUAGUGUAGCCAUCAUUCAGGAGGGAGGCCCAGACAGAGUCCUCAACGCUGCUGGGAAACGGCCAGAGGAAAUCCUGGUGCAGCCUCUUGAUGGCCCUUACGAAGUCAUCUAGACGGGCCGCCCGACUUCGCUCCCUGCGCAGCCAGCCGAUCAGCUCGAAGCCCAAAUGAGUGGAGAAACAGCCCAGGUCCUUCAAGCGCGCGUCCUCCAGGAGGCGCCGUGCACGUCGCUCCAGGAUCACGGUGAUGUACACGGUCUCCGUGCUCCCGCAGUCUUUGCUGGGUCUGCGUGCCAAAAGGAGAACGAUGACGCAGGGAAGCUCCUGGUCGCCUGGAGCCGUGACACAGCUUCCCAAACACCACGGGGCAUCGACGGGUGUCCCUCACUGUGCCUGGCGAGCCCCUCUUCCCGCACUGGGCUGUCAUAGCCAGCGAUGGCCUCUCUGCACUGCGGCAUGGACAACAUACCUGUCGGAAGGGAUUCUGGGGGUUUUCUGUGGAGUGACCACUCCUGGGGGGACACUGUCAGCCGAAUGAGACGCAUUACUGUGUCGCCGCCGGAAAAACUCCAUGCCCCCCGUCAGGCCGGCUUCCUGUUCACAAUGGAAACGUUUCAUAUUUUUAUAGACCCUAUUUUCUAGUAUAUAUGGUGGCUUCCU